AUUGAACGCUGGCGGCAUGCCUUACACAUGCAAGUCGAACGGUAACGCGGGGCAACCUGGCGACGAGUGGCGAACGGGUGAGUAAUAUAUCGGAACGUGCCCAGUAGUGGGGGAUAGCCCGGCGAAAGCCGGAUUAAUACCGCAUACGACCUAUGGGUGAAAGCGGGGGAUCGCAAGACCUCGCGCUAUUGGAGCGGCCGAUAUCAGAUUAGGUAGUUGGUGAGGUAAAAGGCUCACCAAGCCAACGAUCUGUAGCUGGUCUGAGAGGACGACCAGCCACACUGGAACUGAGACACGGUCCAGACUCCUACGGGAGGCAGCAGUGGGGAAUUUUGGACAAUGGACGCAAGUCUGAUCCAGCCAUUCCGCGUGCAGGACGAAGGCCUCGGGUUGUAAACUGCUUUUGUACUAGAACGAAAAGGUACGUCUAUUAAUACUAGGGAGUCAUGACGGUACUGUAAGAAUAAG
rnacentral:rRNA from 1 species